rnacentral:lncRNA from 1 species
GCAGUGGGGGUGCUGGGAUCAGGCUGCAGACAAAGAGCCACCUGCUCUCCCCCUCAAUCUCCCCCUCCAGUGCUCCCUGCUGUUGUCCUAGUGACAUGGCUGCCCUGUGGCUCAAGCCUCCACCCCCACCAGGGCCUGCCUGCCCUGCCCCAAGCAUAGUAACAGGCUCCAGACAGCAGAGAACAAGCUGGAAUCAGGCCGAGCCUCGGUUCUCUGCCAAAACUCUACCUUUCAUGGCAGGGCCAGACAAUGGGGGGCGGGGUCACCGCUACCCUAAUAAUGAGGCCUUGGGGAUGCCCGGAGGAUGGAGGACGGCUGGGGCAGGGGGAGGGAGAGGCAGCAAUGGGCCGGCUGCCUGGGCUCCAUGAAUGCACAGGACACCUUUCAACCCCCAACCCCACCCCCAGGAAGAUGAAAGCAAGGGCAGCAAACUCCCGAGCCACAACUACCUCAUCUACAAAGUGGGCUACCUUCCUCUCGCAGGGCAGCAGCUCACCAGGGCCUGGGCUCGGAGGCCAGACCAGCUUCCCUUGCUGCGAAGCUGGGAGCAUCCUACUGUGAUGGGGGUGUGGCUGACCCUCUCUGGGCACAUAUCCUACCCUUCCUCCUCCUUCACAGCCUGCUUAAGGAGGACUGGGAUCAUUAGGCAGAUCCAAACUGUGGUUUGGAGCUUUCGGGAAAACAAGCCCCAUCAAUGCAAUUUCCUUGUUAA